rnacentral:lncRNA from 1 species
GAGAUAGCAGACAAGAUUCACACAUGUCUUGUGACAUUCGUUGUUGAGAGUGGAUGGGUGGGUUUGGGAGCAUUUGGGAAGCUGAGGUGAGGCCUACGUAGUUGCCUAUCAUCUGUAGAGAAUUUCUACUUGAAAGAGCCCACCACCCAUCACAUCAGAGCUGGCAGAAAAGAAAUGUUAAAAUGACUCGGGAGAAGUGGACCUGUUUAGAAAUGGUUCUUUGGAGCAAGUCCCAUCUGUGAUGCCAGGAAAUCAGAAGUUCAGUUCACAGGAUUCAGCAGCGGCAGCUCCCUCCACUCACAAACACUUCAUGGAUUUUACAGUAGUCUCGUUCAGUAGUGUCAGGAUAGCAGCAGCUGUGGCAUGACCUAGCAGGAACAGCCAGGCCUCAGCCGAUUUGGCAUGAGCCAGCAGGAGAAAUUAGGACCACCAGGGACGUCGGAGAAGUUCUUGGUUGUACCUCUUUCAGGGACUCGAAGAUCACCGAAGACUCAAGACCAAGAAGUGUUGCAAAGCUAGCUCUAAAAGCAAGCCCCUCUUAUAGUCACUUGAGUCCUAUUUAUACUCCCCCCAAACAUCAUGGGUCUUUCCCCACCACAUGCCUUGCCUCAGCAUGUGAGUCUGUCUUAGCAAAACUCCAGAUGCGUCUGUCUCAGCUGACGUCACUCUGCCAAUUGCCCCGAGUCCGAGGAAGUGGCAAGAAGCCACCAGCACACCACCAGAAGAUUUUUGGUGCGUUUCUCUCUGUGGAGUCAUGACAAAUGGAGCUCAACAGCAUAUGUAAGUGAACCAGUCAAUACAUGUGUGUCGUUAGCGAAGAAUCCUUCAUCACCUGUUCUUUCAUGUGUUUGCUUUAGCAAACCAUCCUUUUACCUGGGUCCACUUCAGCAAAACAUUCCUUCAUGUGUUUGCCCCAGCAAAACACCAUCCCCUGACACAACCGACUUUCCAAAGAACCUUUAACUUUCCAUUUCAUAAGGCUGCCUUUGAGCUUGCUUUGUAGCCUUGAACUUCUGGUCCUCCUGCCUCUACUUCCUGAGUGCUGGGAUUAUGGAUAUAUAGCACCACCACACCCAGUUUUAUGUAGCGCUGGGGCCUGAGCCUAGAGCUUGGCAUGUUCGCCAAGCACUCUACCAGCUGGCCCAGCAAUUUCUUACAGUUUGCAUCAUGGAAAGAGCAGAGACAACACGAGAGACUAUGUAUGACCCUAGCCCCAAUCUCUGCUCAGCUGCAGCAGGUCUCUCCUCUGCUUUGCCUUCAAUCUACCGUGUCAUUAUUAGGUUUGUAAUCAUGCAAGUCUCCUUUUCUACUUGUCUUCCCCUAUGGCUGGUCCCAGUUUAUGAUUCUCCUGCCUCAGCCUCCUGAAUGCUAGGACCAGAGGUGUGUGCUACUUUACCUAGCUAAUACAUCAUAGAAACUGCAUAAAGCAUCAUAGGAAUAAUAUUUUGUCAUUUAUUUUCAUUUUUGUUUUUGAGACAUGGUUUUUCUUUGUAGCCCUGGCUGUCUCGGUGCUCACUAUGUUAAUCAGGCUGGCUUUGAACAUGGGAAGAUCCUCUUGCCUCUGCCUCCUGAAUGUUGGUAUUAAGGUAUAUACCAUCAUGCCUAGUUGUUAUCUUACUUUGUAAUGUCACCACAGAGAUCAUUUUAUAUUAUUCAUCUCUCUUUGAAAAGAAUCUCUCUCUCUCUCUCUCUCUCUCUCUCUCUCUCUCUCUCUCUCUCUCUCUCUCUCUCUCUGUAUACACAUGAGUACAAUAUCUGUAGAAACCAGAAGAAGGCAACAGAUGCUCUGGAUCUGGAAUGAUUGGUGGUCAUGAGCUGCCUGAUAUGGGUGUUGGGAAUGGAACUUGGGUCUUCUGCAAGAGCGGUAAGUGCUCUUAACUUCUCCGCAUCCCUACAGCCCUUGCUUCAUGUUCACGAGCCACUAAUUAAGGUUCCUGUCAUCACUGACCUGUCAUGUUAUUAGCAGUGCUAAAUAACUGGGAAGAUGGUAUUUUUGAAGUUUAUGUCCUUAGGCCACAUUUUACAUUCCCAUGCUGUCAUUUAAAUGGGCUGUGUAUCCGUGUUGUUCAUUUGGUUUCCAACAUUAGAGUCUUCCCAUCCGGUAUGGUGGGCAUAGCGACAGGAGAGUGUCCUAAAUCGAUGGUCCUCCUUCACCUGUGAGUGUGGCUGCUUGUUGGACUGACCCGUGGGUGGUAUGAGUCUGAAGCGUGCUUGCUCAAAGAACCGGAUGUGAACAUCACACAUGGGUGCACUCCAGCUUCUUCCUUGAAGCACACACUUUUUGGCUGUGCAAACUCCAAAGCCUUUCUCUCCCCAUUAGCUUUCACUAGCCCACAGGGAGCUUCUGGGUGGUAGGUCAGGGUUCAAACCCUGAAUGGAGCCGUGGAGCCAUGGAGAGCAGUUCAGAGUCUCGCCCCCCCCCCCCCAUUACCACCUUGGAGAUGGAGCCCUGCUUUGCAUAACCUCCCUUACUAGGUAUUUUAGAACCUUAACUGGUCAGGCAGCAUUCUUUGUGGGCACCAAAGAGAGUUAAAUAGGCAUCACCACCCUGAGAUGCAAGCACUGCAGUGCAGUUCCUCUGCGUGCUUGCGUGCGUGCGUGCGCGUGCGUUAUCUGCUCCUUCUGAGAAAGAUAAAAAGUCCUGGCUUAUGGAAAUCAGUGUCCUCACGCAACAGCUGGUGGUUCUGCCUCCACAAGCUGGAAAUUCGGCCACUUUCUUCUGUUUUGGUGUUGGUACAGCUCGCCUUUGUUAUGUCUGCCAUUUGCCUGUUCAAAAAAAAAAAAAGAUCUCUUUUGCAUAUAGUAAAAGAGUUCAGAUGUCCCUGAAAGAACCAAAUGUCAACACUUCCCAAGUGCUUAAAAGUGUUCACAGAGGGGUCUGACAUACACGUGGAGGAGCUGGUUACAAGGUACCUGGAGCAGGCUCUGGCUGGGGCUCAGGCACCGGUGACAUUUUACUCUGGUUGUGGGUUUUCUGUGAUGUUCAAUGUUGCUUGUCUCAUGAUCAUAAUACCUAGUCUUUGUGCCAGGCUCUGCCAUGCUAAGGCCAUUAAACAUUCUUUCUAAUCUAGACCAUGUGGAUAGGUGCUGUUAUUGUGCCCACUGUACAGAUAAGGAAAACAAGGUCCCAGAUUCAGUAUUUGCACAAAUAUCGGCAAAGAGUUAGUUUGUGAACUGGUGUUCCCUUCAUUAAUUUUUUUUUAACCUUCUUAUUGACUCUUCGUGAAUUUCCCAUCAUGCACCCCAGUCCUUUUCUUCUCGCUAUCCCUUCACAUCUGCCCUCUGCCCUUGCAACUGCCUCUCCAAAAGAAAACAAAAAAAUAAAAACUAAAAGCAGCAAACAAACAGAACCAAACAAGCAAAACCAAAGCCACACAAGCAUUUUACAUGUAAGCUGCACUGUGUCACAGUGAGUUGCACAGUAUGCCCUUUUGUCCAAACAUCUUUAUUCACAAGUGUUCAUUGCAAUGAGUUCUGGUUUGAGGCCUCUGGCUUCUGCCAAUUCUGGAUCCUCAUUGGAUUGUCAAGGUGUUUGAACUCUGUAUCAUGGAGACCCUGCAGCUUUGGUUCUGCAGGACCAGCCCUUUCAUGAUCUCCAGCAGUUCAUACAUAGGGUAUAUAACUCUAAGCCCUGGAUCUGGGUCUGGGUGCUAGGUGAGUUUGUUAGCUAGUCCUAUUUCCUGUACCCAUACCAUCAAGGUCAGCUCUCCCUCUUUGCUCAGAUGAGAGGCGGGGCCAGCUCUGCAUGGCCCCCAGGCAGCUCACACCAGGGACUUCAGUGAUAACAUUGCCUUUAGUGAUAGCAUGGGCCACAGACAACAACACAGGCACUCUGCUACAAGGCUACAGACCCAGACAUGGCCCUAGGCGGCAGCAUGGGUCAGGAUAUCACCAUAGCCUCAGGUGGCAGAGCAGGCUGCUCACAACAGUUUGUUCCUCAGGACCCUGGAGUCUCCAGUUCUCCCUCUCCUCAUAGAGAACAAACCAUCCUGCUUUUCUUUUUCUCCCACUUCCCUAACAAAUACUUGCUCAUUGUAGUGGAGCCUGACUAUCAAGCCACAUGGUAGGGUCCAGCCUCUGGGUGUCUUCUGUCCCUCCUGAAACCUGUGCAGAAGGCUGGGGCCUCCCCUUCUUUAUUAUUUUGGUGAAUCUCAAUUCUAAUUGAUUCUCCUCCUCCUCCUCUUCUCUUGUG